UACGUAGGGACCAAGCGUUGUUCGGAUUUACUGGGCGUAAAGGGCGCGUAGGCGGCAAUUCAAGUCAUCUGUGAAAUCUCCGGGCUUAACUCGGAACGGUCAGAUGAUACUGCUUGCUAGAGUGCGGAAGGGCAAUCGGAAUUCUUGGUGUAGCGGUGAAAUGCGUAGAUAUCAAGAGGAACACCUGAGGUGAAGACGGGUUGCUGGGCCGACACUGACGCUGAGUGCGCGAAAGCCAGGGAGCAAACGGG
rnacentral:rRNA from 1 species